CUGACUGCUAUCGGAUUGAUACUAAGCCAUGCGAGUCAUUGUAGUAAUACAAGGCAGACGGCUCAGUAACGCGUAGUCAACCUAACCUAUGGACGGGAAUAACCUCGGGAAACUGAGUAUAAUGCCCGAUAGAACAUUAUGCCUGGAAUGGUUUAUGUUCCAACAUGAUUUAUCGCCGUAGGAUGGGACUGCGGCCUAUCAGUUUGUUGGUGAGGUAAUGGCCCACCAAGACUAUUACAGGUACGGGCUCUGAGAGGAGUAGCCCGGAGAUGGGUACUGAGACACGGACCCAGGCCCUAUGGGGCGCAGCAGGCGAGAAAACUUUGCAAUGUGCGAAAGCACGACAAGGUUAAUCCGAGUGGUUUCUGCUAAAGGAACCUUUUGUCGGUCCUAGAAACACCGAUGAAUAAGGGGUGGGCAAGUUCUGGUGUCAGCCGCCGCGGUAAAACCAGCACCUCAAGUGGUCAGGAUGAUUAUUGGGCCUAAAGCAUCCGUAGCCGGCUCUGUAAGUUUUCGGUUAAAUCUGUACGCUCAACGUACAGGCUGCCGGGAAUACUGCAGAGCUAGGGAGUGGGAGAGGUAGACGGUACUCGGUAGGAAGGGGUAAAAUCCUUUGAUCUAUUGAUGACCACCUGUGGCGGAGGCGGUCUACCAGAACACGUCCGACGGUGAGGGAAUGAAAGCUGGGGGAGCAAACCCGGAUUAAGAUACCCGGGGUAGUCCCCAGCUGUAAACUAUGCAAACUCAGUGAUGCAUUGGCUUGUGGCCAAUGCAGUGCUGCAGGGAAGCCGUUAAGUUUGCCCCCUGGGAAGUACGUACGC
rnacentral:rRNA from 1 species